rnacentral:rRNA from 1 species
UGGGGAAUAUUGCACAAUGGGCGCAAGCCUGAUGCAGCCAUGCCGCGUGUAUGAAGAAGGCCUUCGGGUUGUAAAGUACUUUCAGCGGGGAGGAAGGGAGUAAAGUUAAUACCUUUGCUCAUUGACGUUACCCGCAGAAGAAGCACCGGCUAACUCCGUGCCAGCAGCCGCGGUAAUACGGAGGGUGCAAGCGUUAAUCGGAAUUACUGGGCGUAAAGCGCACGCAGGCGGUUUGUUAAGUCAGAUGUGAAAUCCCCGGGCUCAGCCUGGGAACUGCAUCUGAUACUGGCAAGCUUGAGUCUCGUAGAGGGGGGUAGAAUUCCAGGUGUAGCGGUGAAAUGCGUAGAGAUCUGGAGGAAUACCGGUGGCGAAGGCGGCCACCUGGACGAAGACUGACGCUCAGGUGCGAAAGCGUGGGGAGCAAACAGG